GCCGGGUGUGGUGGCACAUGCCUGUAAUCCCAGCGGCUUGGGAGGCUGAGGCAAGAGGAUCAUGAGUUCAAAGCCAGGCCCAGCAAAAGUGAAGUGCUAAGCAGCUCAGUGAGACCCUGUUUCUA
rnacentral:sRNA from 1 species